ACCAGAGGGAGGGCGGGGCAAUCUAUCCCGGGAACUGGCAGCGCAGAGGCCUCCGAGAAACAGGAAGUUUAGGUCGGCCCAGUUCCACCUCCUCCGCCACUUCCAAAGCUUUUCCCGGCUCAGCUCCUUAGCAGGCCCCGGAACUCCCUCCGCCCGGCGCCUGCAGCCUCGAGACAAGACCAGGAAAAGAUGGAGGAGCUCCACCAGAUGGACUCAUUGGGGAUACUGUGCUGCCUCUAUAGGGGUCCUGGAAUCCCAGGGAUGGCCUUGGAGAGGGAUAGACUAGCCCAGAUAAGUACAUUCCAGCCCCAGAUGGAGCCCCAUUAACCAGGGAGACCUUUCCCUGGCUCUGACACAAAAUGAGCUGGGUAGCUGCUCCACCUUCCUGCUAGGCCAUUUCUGUAUCCACAUCCAAGACCAGAGGAACAGCCCUUCAUGGCUCUCUUCUCAGCUUUGGGAGUGAUUUCUUGGCUCCUGGGCAGCUCAAUCACCAAGAACUCCCCCCAGGGGCUGGCUCUCAUAUCAGAUUUCUCCAUAUCAUGAGCGCCAAGUACAGCCAUUGACUCUUCUUCCCUGACUAGGCAUCCUGUCUUUGCUCUCUGCUUGCCUGGUGACAUACCCUCUUCCUCUGUUUCUUUUCACCUGUUCCCUCUUGAGUCUGACCUGGAGCAGAGCCUGAGGGUGUCCCCUGGCCUGUGCCAUCCUCAGGGAAGACAUUGUCUCCUGGAGCUGCUCACUGGCUUCUGCCUCAAGUCCUUGAGUCUUCCCGGGUCUCUCCAGUUCCUUCCUUUCUCCCACUUCUUACCCCAAGUCAGCCAGUGUGGAGGAGCACCUUGAUGUGUGCCUGGCACUGCUCAGCAUAAAAGAAGGGAGAAGCCAUCAGCUGCCCUCCUGGCACCCCCAGUCUGACCAAGAAGACCCCUCAGCAGCUGUGUCCAAAUAAGGGUGGGAUGGAAGGAGGCAUUGUGUAAGGGAAGGCUCUCAGGAUUCUGGGGAGAUCAUUCAUUCCUGAGGGGAGGAUUCAGCUGGGACUCAAGGAAGCUCUGAGGCCAGAGGCAGGAAGGAGAACAUUACCUGCAGGGACACAGACGGCCCCUGGAACAUCCGAGAAUCAUACCAUGGAAGGUCCUGGCCAAGGAUCAGCCAGGAGGCCAGUGUCUCUGGGUCAGAGGAAGAGGAGGGAGGUGUGAGGGGAGAAGAAGGGGCUGGAAGCUCAGUAUAUGCCAGUGGAGCCUGUUUUAGGAAAGGUCAGGGUCCUUGCCAGUGACAGCCAGAAUCAGGCAGCUGGGUAGACCCCCAGAGAGCUCCCCUGUGGCUUUUGUAACCACUCCAGAGUGUGACCCCCCCCACCGGCCUUCUGCUGCUGAGCUCUUUGAUCCAGAGAUAGUCUGAGGAGUUUGGGGUGAGCCCAGGAAGGGCCCUCACAGAAAUGGGGCCUUUUUCUAAUAGGAGGAUCUUGGAGAGUUCUUGAGCAGAGCUGUUUGUACCAGAGGCAGCAGCUGGGAACAUUCCUUCUCUGUGCAGUAGAAUUCCUCACUGGUCUAGUCCUUCCCUUGUAGGACUGGCUAGAGAGGAAGGGGUGAAUUUCUGGAAGGCUUGGGAGUUUUCUGUGCCAACAGGGUUAGGGAGAUCAUGAGGGAGACAUCCUGGCCUUGUUACAAAGGCAUCCAGCUCAGUGGCAAAGAAUGGGAUACAGACACACUGGAGUGCUUCAUGUUCUCCUAAAAAUCUGUUUAACACUCUGGGGUAAAUGUUGUUCUUUUCCUCCUUUCACAGUUGAGGAAACUAAGGCAAACAGAGGUUAAGAUUCCGUGCAGAAAUUUUUCUGCUUUAAGGAAUCAAAUUUUCCAUUUUUUUUUUUGGUAAUUGCCUCUAUCUGGAGUUCGACUAAACUUUUGUGUCCUUGAGCUGCAAAGUAAAACACCUGUGAGGCAUCCUCUGAUGCCUGUCAAUUUUGCCAUUGUGCCAGAAAAAGGACAUGAUCAGUUCAGAGAUGUGUGAAAGCUGAGACACUCAUGCAUUGUUGGUGAGGUUGUCAUCAAUCAAUUGAUUGACCAUUUGAGGUCCAUUUGGAACUUUGCCCAAAACGCUUUGAAACUUUGCAUAACCUUUGAUCUAGUCAUGUAUCCUAGAGAUCCCCAACAGGGGAAUGCAAACACCUCAAGGGAAGCGUAGAAUACACAUAAGAGGAAACGUCCCCGACUCUUGGCAGAGCUGCCUCUUCCACUCCAUUUUCUCAGAUGAAUUCUCCUUUGAUUGCCAUUCCAGGAAACCUGCAGGACGCAAAUGCAGUGCUCCCUUGCUUCAGAGUGCUGGGCAGCCAUUGCCCCCUAAUGGAUAUCAGGAAAAAGGGCUGCUUAGCAUCCAGGGUAAAGCAAGCUUUGACCUGUUUCCUAUGUCACCAUUUCUGCUCACCAGAGCACUAGCACAGCAAGUCUGAAGCAGUAAGUACUUUAGGAAAAAAAUACAAACAAAAAACCCUCAUGAAGGGGGAAAGCAAGAGAGAAUGAUAAGAGAAACAGAGAGAGAGAGACAAAGGAAUGGUGGUAGUCUCUCGGUAACCGAGGAUGACGAUUGUCUUUGUGCGUUUUUGUGCACAAAGACACUUGUGCAUGAAGAUUUAAGUGGAAAAGUCAGUGCACAGAGACAGUCCCACUCUCUCGGCGUUGGAAGCCUGGGUCCAGUGGCAUGAAAAGUCGUUACACCUGGAGACUUCCUCAGCUGCAUUGGAUGGCCAUGUUGUCUUUUGUGCUCCAACAUGCCCUAAGCACUCCACAGUGCUUUGCUGCAUCGCCAUCUCAGCCGUUGAACCUUCUUGUUGGUUUCUUCCGUCUGUUCCGCCAAAGCAGUCUUCACAUGCUAGGUCACUCCAAGAAGGAAGUUAGCUUUAAGAAGAAGGUCGGUUCAAAGAAGAAAGUUGGCCUCAGGAGUCAUCUUCAGCUCAAGUCAUUGUCUUGGCCUACCAACUUGGGUGAGGGGAUAGCUGGUUUUCCCUUCUUGUCUUCUAGAGAGAGUUUAAUUCCCAUUUAAAGUCAACAAGUCCUGACUGAGUAGAGCACCAGAGCAAUAUUUAGUUAGAGAGGCUAAUGUUUUCCCUACCCUAUUAUAUUUCUUUAUUUUCACUUUUCCCACCUCUUUUGUAAAUAAAAAACUAUUAAAGUAAUUUCUAUUUUGAGCAA